rnacentral:rRNA from 1 species
GGGUUGUGAGGUUAAGCGACUAAGCGUACACGGUGGAUGCCCUGGCAGUCAGAGGCGAUGAAGGACGUGCUAAUCUGCGAUAAGCGCCGGUAAGGUGAUAUGAACCGUUAUAACCGGCGAUUUCCGAAUGGGGAAACCCAGUGUGAUUCGUCACACUAUCAUUAACUGAAUCCAUAGGUUAAUGAGGCGAACCGGGGGAACUGAAACAUCUAAGUACCCCGAGGAAAAGAAAUCAACCGAGAUUCCCCCAGUAGCGGCGAGCGAACGGGGAGGAGCCCAGAGCCUGAAUCAGCAUGUGUGUUAGUGGAAGCGUCUGGAAAGGCGCGCGAUACAGGGUGACAGCCCCGUACACAAAAGCGCAUGUGCUGUGAGCUCGAUGAGUAGGGCGGGACACGUGGUAUCCUGUCUGAAUAUGGGGGGACCAUCCUCCAAGGCUAAAUACUCCUGACUGACCGAUAGUGAACCAGUACCGUGAGGGAAAGGCGAAAAGAACCCCGGCGAGGGGAGUGAAAAAGAACCUGAAACCGUGUACGUACAAGCAGUGGGAGCACAGGUUUACCUGUGUGACUGCGUACCUUUUGUAUAAUGGGUCAGCGACUUAUAUUCUGUAGCAAGGUUAACCGUAUAGGGGAGCCGCAGGGAAACCGAGUCUUAACCGGGCGUUAAGUUGCAGGGUAUAGACCCGAAACCCGGUGAUCUAGCCAUGGGCAGGUUGAAGGUUGGGUAACACUAACUGGAGGACCGAACCGACUAAUGUUGAAAAAUUAGCGGAUGACCUGUGGCUGGGGGUGAAAGGCCAAUCAAACCGGGAGAUAGCUGGUUCUCCCCGAAAGCUAUUUAGGUAGCGCCUCGUGAAUUCAUCUCCGGGGGUAGAGCACUGUUUCGGCUAGGGGGCCAUCCCGGCUUACCAACCCGAUGCAAACUGCGAAUACCGGAGAAUGUUAUCACGGGAGACACACGGCGGGUGCUAACGUCCGUCGUGAAGAGGGAAACAACCCAGACCGCCAGCUAAGGUCCCAAAGUCAUGGUUAAGUGGGAAACGAUGUGGGAAGGCCCAGACAGCCAGGAUGUUGGCUUAGAAGCAGCCAUCAUUUAAAGAAAGCGUAAUAGCUCACUGGUCGAGUCGGCCUGCGCGGAAGAUGUAACGGGGCUAAACCAUGCACCGAAGCUGCGGCAGCGACACUGUGUGUUGUUGGGUAGGGGAGCGUUCUGUAAGCCUGUGAAGGUGGCCUGUGAGGGUUGCUGGAGGUAUCAGAAGUGCGAAUGCUGACAUAAGUAACGAUAAAGCGGGUGAAAAGCCCGCUCGCCGGAAGACCAAGGGUUCCUGUCCAACGUUAAUCGGGGCAGGGUGAGUCGACCCCUAAGGCGAGGCCGAAAGGCGUAGUCGAUGGGAAACGGGUUAAUAUUCCCGUACUUGGUGUUACUGCGAAGGGGGGACGGAGAAGGCUAUGUUGGCCGGGCGACGGUUGUCCCGGUUUAAGCGUGUAGGUGUGUGUUCCAGGUAAAUCCGGUUCACUUUAACACUGAGGCGUGAUGACGAGGCACUACGGUGCUGAAGCAACAAAUGCCCUGCUUCCAGGAAAAGCCUCUAAGCAUCAGGUAACAUCAAAUCGUACCCCAAACCGACACAGGUGGUCAGGUAGAGAAUACCAAGGCGCUUGAGAGAACUCGGGUGAAGGAACUAGGCAAAAUGGUGCCGUAACUUCGGGAGAAGGCACGCUGACAUGUAGGUGAAGUGAUUUACUCAUGGAGCUGAAGUCAGUCGAAGAUACCAGCUGGCUGCAACUGUUUAUUAAAAACACAGCACUGUGCAAACACGAAAGUGGACGUAUACGGUGUGACGCCUGCCCGGUGCCGGAAGGUUAAUUGAUGGGGUCAGCGCAAGCGAAGCUCCUGAUCGAAGCCCCGGUAAACGGCGGCCGUAACUAUAACGGUCCUAAGGUAGCGAAAUUCCUUGUCGGGUAAGUUCCGACCUGCACGAAUGGCGUAAUGAUGGCCAGGCUGUCUCCACCCGAGACUCAGUGAAAUUGAACUCGCUGUGAAGAUGCAGUGUACCCGCGGCAAGACGGAAAGACCCCGUGAACCUUUACUAUAGCUUGACACUGAACAUUGAGCCUUGAUGUGUAGGAUAGGUGGGAGGCUUUGAAGCGUGGACGCCAGUCUGCGUGGAGCCGGCCUUGAAAUACCACCCUUUAAUGUUUGAUGUUCUAACGUGGACCCGU